rnacentral:rRNA from 1 species
AUUGAACGCUGGCGGCAGGCCUAACACAUGCAAGUCGAGCGAGCGGCGGACGGGUGAGUAAUGUCUGGGAAACUGCCUGCUGGAGGGGGAUAACUACUGGAAACGGUAGCUAAUACCGCAUACCAUCAGAUGUGCCCAGAUGGGAUUAGCUAGUUGGUGUGGUAACGGCUCACCAAGGCGACGAUCCCUAGCUGGUCUGAGAGGAUGACCAGCCACACUGGAACUGAGACACGGUCCAGACUCCUACGGGAGGCAGCAGUGGGGAAUAUUGCACAAUGGGCGCAAGCCUGAUGCAGCCAUGCCGCGUGUAUGAAGAAGGCCUUCGGGUUGUAAAGUACUUUCAGCGGGGAGGCGUUACCCGCAGAAGAAGCACCGGCUAACUCCGUGCCAGCAGCCGCGGUAAUAC